rnacentral:rRNA from 1 species
AUUGAACGCUGGCGGCAUGCCUUACACAUGCAAGUCGAACGGUAACGCGGGGCAACCUGGCGACGAGUGGCGAACGGGUGAGUAAUGUAUCGGAACGUGCCCAGUUGUGGGGGAUAACUGCUCGAAAGAGCAGCUAAUACCGCAUACGACCUGAGGGUGAAAGCGGGGGAUCGCAAGACCUCGCGCAAUUGGAGCGGCCGAUAUCAGAUUAGGUAGUUGGUGGGGUAAAGGCUCACCAAGCCAACGAUCUGUAGCUGGUCUGAGAGGACGACCAGCCACACUGGGACUGAGACACGGCCCAGACUCCUACGGGAGGCAGCAGUGGGGAAUUUUGGACAAUGGACGCAAGUCUGAUCCAGCCAUGCCGCGUGCGGGAAGAAGGCCUUCGGGUUGUAAACCGCUUUUGUCAGGGAAGAAACGCUCUGGGUUAAUACCUCGGGGUAAUGACGGUACCUGAAGAAUAAGCACCGGCUAACUACGUGCCAGCAGCCGCGGUAAUACGUAGGGUGCAAGCGUUAAUCGGAAUUACUGGGCGUAAAGCGUGCGCAGGCGGUUAUGCAAGACAGAGGUGAAAUCCCCGGGCUCAACCUGGGAACUGCCUUUGUGACUGCAUAGCUAGAGUACGGUAGAGGGGGAUGGAAUUCCGCGUGUAGCAGUGAAAUGCGUAGAUAUGCGGAGGAACACCGAUGGCGAAGGCAAUCCCCUGGACCUGUACUGACGCUCAUGCACGAAAGCGUGGGGAGCAAACAGG